rnacentral:rRNA from 1 species
UACGAAGGGGGCGAGCGUUGUUCGGAUUUACUGGGCGUAAAGGGCGCGUAGGCGGCCAUGUUAGUCUCGGGUGAAAUCUUUCGGCUCAACCGGAAACGUGCCUGGGAUACUGCAUGGCUGGAGGGAGGUAGGGGCGGACGGAACUUCCGGUGGAGCGGUGAAAUGCGUUGAUAUCGGAAGGAACGCCGGUGGCGAAAGCGGUCCGCUGGACCUCUACUGACGCUGAGGCGCGAAAGCCAGGGGAGCAAACGGG